rnacentral:rRNA from 1 species
GAUGAACGCUGGCGGCGUGCCUAAUACAUGCAAGUCGAGCGAACAGACGAGGAGCUUGCUCCUCUGACGUUAGCGGCGGACGGGUGAGUAACACGUGGAUAACCUACCUAUAAGACUGGGAUAACUUCGGGAAACCGGAGCUAAUACCGGAUAAAAUAUUGAACCGCAUGGUUCAAUAGUGAAAGACGGUUUUGCUGUCACUUAUAGAUGGAUCCGCGCCGCAUUAGCUAGUUGGUAAGGUAACGGCUUACCAAGGCGACGAUGCGUAGCCGACCUGAGAGGGUGAUCGGCCACACUGGAACUGAGACACGGUCCAGACUCCUACGGGAGGCAGCAGUAGGGAAUCUUCCGCAAUGGGCGAAAGCCUGACGGAGCAACGCCGCGUGAGUGAUGAAGGUCUUCGGAUCGUAAAACUCUGUUAUUAGGGAAGAACAAAUGUGUAAGUAACUAUGCACGUCUUGACGGUACCUAAUCAGAAAGCCACGGCUAACUACGUG